CCUACGGGUGGCAGCAGUGAGGAAUAUUGGUCAAUGGACGAGAGUCUGAACCAGCCAAGUAGCGUUAAGGAUGACUGCCCUAUGGUUUGUAAACUUCUUUUAUAAAGGAAUAAAACGAGGCACGUGUGCCUUUUUGCAUGUACUUUAUGAAUAAGGAUCGGCUAACUCCGUGCCAGCAGCCGCGGUAAUACGGAGGAUCCGAGCGUUAUCCGGAUUUAUUGGGUUUAAAGUGAGCGUAGAUGGGUUGUUAAGUCAGUUGUGAAAGUUUGCGGCUCAACCGUAAAAUUGCAAUUGAUACUGGCAGUCGUGAGUACAGUUGAGGUAGGCGGAAUUCGUGGUGUAGCGGUGAAAUGCUUAGAUAUCACGAAGAACCCCGAUUGCGAAGGCAGCUUACUAAACUGUGACUGACAUUGAUGCUCGAAAGUGUGGGUAUCAAACAGGAUUAGAUACCCCAGUAGUC
rnacentral:rRNA from 1 species